rnacentral:rRNA from 1 species
AUUGAACGCUGGCGGCAGGCCUAACACAUGCAAGUCGAGCGGAGUGGCGGACGGGUGAGUAAUGCAUAGGAAUCUGCCUGGUAGUGGGGGCUCACGUCCGGAAACGGGCGCUAAUACCGCAUAAUAUCAGAUGAGCCUAGGUCGGAUUAGCUAGUUGGUGGGGUAAAGGCCUAACAAGGCGACGAGCCGUAACUGGUCUGAGAGGAUGCUCAGUCACACUUGAACUUAGACACGGUCCAGAAUUCUACGGGAGGCAGCAGUGGUGAAGAUUGGACAAGGGGCGAAAGCCUGAUCCAGCCAUGCCGCGUGUGUGAAGAAGGUCUUCGGAUUGUAAAGCACUUUAAGUUGGGAGGCGUUACCAACAGAAUAAGCACCGGCUAACUUCGUGCCAGCAGCCGCGGUAAUAC